UACGGGGGGAGCAAGCGUUGUUCGGAAUUACUGGGCGUAAAGGGCGCGUAGGCGGCCCACUAAGUCAGACGUGAAAUCCCCCGGCUUAACCUGGGAACUGCGUCUGAUACUGGAGGGCUCGAGUAUGGGAGAGGGAUGUAGAAUUCCAGGUGUAGCGGUGAAAUGCGUAGAUAUCUGGAGGAAUACCGGUGGCGAAGGCGGCAUCCUGGACCAUUACUGACGCUGAGGCGCGAAAGCUAGGGGAGCAAACGGG
rnacentral:rRNA from 1 species